AUGUCUACUUGGAGGUUGUGCCCUUGAGGCGUGGCUUCCGGAGCUAACGCGUUAAGUAGACCGCCUGGGGAGUACGGCCGCAAGGUUAAAACUCAAAUGAAUUGACGGGGGCCCGCACAAGCGGUGGAGCAUGUGGUUUAAUUCGAUGCAACGCGAAGAACCUUACCUGGUCUUGACAUCCACAGAACUUUCCAGAGAUGGAUUGGUGCCUUCGGGAACUGUGAGACAGGUGCUGCAUGGCUGUCGUCAGCUCGUGUUGUGAAAUGUUGGGUUAAGUCCCGCAACGAGCGCAACCCUUAUCCUUUGUUGCCAGCGGUCCGGCCGGGAACUCAAAGGAGACUGCCAGUGAUAAACUGGAGGAAGGUGGGGAUGACGUCAAGUCAUCAUGGCCCUUACGACCAGGGCUACACACGUGCUACA
rnacentral:rRNA from 1 species